ACAGCAGUGAGAGGUUCCCUGUAUCCAGCAGGCCAACCAUCCCUUCCACCCGCAGGGUGGGGCUGCAUGGAUGUGUCUCCCAUGGAGCUCUGAAAGGCUCAUUUCAGCCCCCUGCCCCAGCCUCGGGGUUCAUCCUCCAUUCUCUCUGUUUUUAGCCCUUCCCUCAGCAGCAACUUCCCCUCCUCAUUGACCCAGCCUUCCCUAGCUCCUUUCUCUAAAGUCUCCACUUCUUCUAUUUCUUCUUGAUGUGCUACUUUUAUGUUUCUUCCUCCCAAUUUCCACAUUGCCUAUGGUGGUCCAGGCCCCUAGUGCUUCUGCCCUGCCUGGUAUCUCUUCCCUUCUCCUGUCCCUUCUUAACACCUUUCCCCAGGGCCCAGCAGGCUCAGAUAUGAUGUGGGCCCAGGGAGGGAAGCUGGUCAUUCCUUCCACACUGGAGGC
rnacentral:lncRNA from 1 species